rnacentral:rRNA from 1 species
AGAGUUUGAUCAUGGCUCAGAACGAACGCUGGCGGCAGGCCUAAUACAUGCAAGUCGAACGCUCGUAGCAAUACGAGAGUGGCAGACGGGUGAGUAACACGUGGGAACCUUCCCUUUGGUUCGGAAUAGCUCAGGGAAACUUGAGGUAAUACCGGAUAAGCCCUUCGGGGGAAAGAUUUAUCGCCAUUGGAUGGGCCCGCGUCGGAUUAGCUAGUUGGUGAGGCAACGGCUCACCAAGGCGACGAUCCGUAGCUGGUCUGAGAGGAUGAUCAGCCACACUGGGACUGAGACACGGCCCAGACUCCUACGGGAGGCAGCAGUAGGGAAUAUUGGACAAUGGGCGCAAGCCUGAUCCAGCCAUGCCGCGUGAGUGACGAAGGCCUUCGGGUUGUAAAGCUCUUUUGGCGGGGACGAUAAUGACGGUACCCGCAGAAUAAGCUCCGGCUAACUUCGUGCCAGCAGCCGCGGUAAUACGAAGGGAGCUAGCGUUGUUCGGAAUCACUGGGCGUAAAGCGCACGUAGGCGGAUGUGUCAGUCAGGGGUGAAAUCCCGGAGCUCAACUUCGGAACUGCCUCUGAUACAGCACGUCUUGAGUCCCGGAAGAGGUGGGUGGAAUUCCUAGUGUAGAGGUGAAAUUCGUAGAUAUUAGGAAGAACACCGGUGGCAAAGGCGGCCACUGGCCCGGUACUGACG